rnacentral:snRNA from 1 species
AUCGCUUCUCGGCCUUUUGGCUAAGAUCAAGUGUAGUAUCUGUUCUUAUCAGUUUAAAAUAGUAUCUUUAUAUUUUUAUAACAGGUACAUUUCAAUAUCCAUUUUACAAAUCAAC